UUCCACUCUUCCCCGGAGACGACAGUUCUCUGAGGGCAUCAUUACCACAUAUGGCUAGCAUAUAAUCAGCAGUAUCAACUUGGAAAAGCUCCCUCAAAUGUCUAAAGACCAUAGGACAAUAGUCCUUCCACCGAAACUCCACGGAUUGAUGUGGAGGUGUAAUCUUUGAUCCUUCUGGUGGAAACCUCGUCCAGAACUUCUCCUUUG
rnacentral:misc_RNA from 1 species